CCAGCCCCAGUAGCCGGUGGUACCUCUGCUUGAGUUUUGCUCAUGCCUGCUGGGCUGGUUCCACCCACUCGACCUGGCAAGCUGCACUCGGCUCACGCUACCACCCUGGAUCCCACGGCUGCCAAAGGCAAGCCAGGCACAGAGCCAGGUACAGAGUGGCAAGGGGUUUGUGAGCAAGUGAUCGUGGGGUCUGGCCACUGCACACAGCCAGGCACGCCAGCUGCUGCGGCAGGGCAUGCAGCUCCAGGAACCGGCACCGGCACCAGCUCCUUGCGAGGCUGCAGCUGGACCAGGUGUACCACAGGCGGCUUCCGCUGCAAGUACCAGGGUCUGGAUGAGGGGAACACAGUGGCACCCAAAAACCUGAGUGAGACGCCAGCAACCACAGAGGCCAAAGAGACUUCUUAAAGCUAAUUUCCAACUCUUCCUGCCUGCAAUGAAGAGCAAGAAGUGAUUAAACUGUUCAAUUGCACAAUCAACUGACAAACAACAAUCUACAUGACACCUUCAAGAAAGGGAUUAAUCUCCACAUGGCACAAAGGUACUA
rnacentral:lncRNA from 1 species